CCUACGGGAGGCAGCAGUGAGGAAUAUUGGUCAAUGGACGGAAGUCUGAACCAGCCAUGCCGCGUGAAGGAAGACGGCUCUAUGAGUUGUAAACUGCUUUUGUACGAGGGUAAACCUGAAUACGUGUACCCAGCUGUAUGUACUGUACGAAUAAGGUACGGCUAACUCCGUGCCAGCAGCCGCGGUAAUACGGAGGAUCCGAGCGUUAUCCGGAUUUAUUGGGUUUAAGGGGUGCGUAGGUGGAUUGAUAAGUUAGAUGUGAAAUGUCCGGGCUUAACCCGGGAACUGCCUCUAAUACUGGUGAUCUAGAGUAUAGAAGAGGUAGGCGGAAGGUAUGGUGUAGCGGUGAAAUGCUUAGAGAUCAUACAGAACACCGAUGGCGAAGGCAGCUUAC
rnacentral:rRNA from 1 species